UUUCGCCCAUGGUUUCCUCUCCUGGGGGUGCGGUGGCUCAGUGGUUGUGGGUUCGAAUCCCACCACCGCCUUGUGUGUGCGUGGAGUUUGCAUGUUCUCCAUGUGCUUUGUGGAUUUUCACCGGGUACUCCGGUUUCCUCCUCCAGUCAAAAGGCAUGCAUUGUAGUAAGAAUGGCAUUCCCAAAUUGUCCGAAGUGUGUGAAUGUGUGUGUGAUUGUGCCCUGUGACAUGCUGGCCCCCUGUCCAGAGUGUCCCAAGUUCAGUAAGCAGAACAAAUGAGUUUCUUCUCUUCUUCUGUUGCCUCAGAUUCUAAGUCAGAUUGAGGUUUCGGCCUUUCACUGGGCCAUUUGAACACAUUCAGGCUCUUGGAUUUGAACCAUUCCAGUAGUUUAAAAGUAUGUUUAUGCUUGUUCUCCUGUUGAAAGGUGAACUUCAAGGCACACGGUGGCUUAGUGGUUGGCAUGUUCGCCUCACACCUGUGGGGUUGGGGGUUUGAUUCCCACAGCAGCCCUGUGCAUGUUCUCCCUGUGCUGUGGGGGUUUCCUCUGGGUACUCCAGUUUCCUUCCCCAGUCCAAAGACAUGCAUGGUAGGUGGAUUGGCAUGUCCAAAGUGUCUGUAGUGUAUGAAUUGGUGUGUCAAUGUGCCUCCCCUGGUGUACCCUGGGCAAUGUUCAGUAUCAUACUGCUGAGUGGAACCAUGAUGGUUCCACUAUGAAGUGGAACCUUGACAUGAACAGAAGAAGAAGGUGAACUUCCACCUGUAAAAGAUUUUCCUCUAGGAUUGCCCUGUAUUUGGCCCAUCCAUCUCGCCUUUCACCACUUCCUCAGUUCCAUCUGAUGAAAAGCUUUUCCUACAACAUCAUGCUUCACUGUUUACUGUUUUACUGAUUUACUCUUUUAGUGUUGGACUUUCGACAAACACAGAGCUUUGUGCCAAGGCCAAAAAGUGACACUUUAGUCUCAUCAGACAUGUGUGUGUGUGUUCGCGCGCUUUGUCCAGUCGAGACCAUUGGGACUUUUAUUUUGAAGAGAAGACGAGGUCUUUUCUGAUCGCUGUAGCUGUUUUCAGAUUUUCAUCACGUGGGCAGGCCCCACCUCAUAGACAUAUAAAUAUGGUCUCCUUUCCUGUGUUUAGUGAGGAUGGUUCGUGUAAUCCUUGUGUUAGUUGUUUAAGGAAGAAUCUGAUGGAGAUGAUCAAGCCUCAAGGUUUUCAGGCAUCAACAGGCAUUUCAAAUGUUAUUGUGUGGGAGUUGAACUAAUUAAAACACUUUUUUGGGGGGGGGGGGUUAUGUAUAUAACUUGGUGGUAUUUGUUAGACAGGGUGUGGAAAAUGUGGCUUUUGCAUAAAUAUGUAUUUUCUUGUUUUAAUGUUUAACUUCUGAUUAAAAAAUAAUCUUUUAUCAAGUUAAAUAAAAACUGUAAGAUUCCACAGUUGGGUCUGACAUUUUGUUUUAAUUGAAUAACUGUUUGAAAUUAUUCCCCUUUAAAGCAAAAGUAAAAAUGGAUAAAUGUGAGUGGUGUUUGAGUACUACAUUAUAAAGGAAUAGGUUAUGGUCAGUGGUAUGUCAAUUAAUGUAGUCACUGUUCACAUGUAAUAUAAAAAUAUUUAUCAUUAGACAUUGUUCAUGUCUAAUAUUGUUAGAUUGUUUUAGUUUAAAUUGAAUGGGGUUGAAUGCACUGUGAUAUCACUCUUGGCCAUAGACUUCACAUGAAAGUAUAGUAAUUACAAUAUCUGAAACAUCAGCCCAGCAUAAUCAAUGUUUUUCUGAUGCACAAAUGAUAUCAGCUUCAUUUAUUUUAUUUUUUUUUUUAGACAAGGUGCCAUUGCAGUGUUUAAUUUCUACAAUCCUAGAACUACAGAAGGCCUGUCAAUCAAUAAUGAAGUAAACAUUAGCUAACUACAAGUUGGUAUUUAGGGUAAUGUUAACUAAGCUGUUGGUGCCAAGUUCAAGUGUUAUGUACAGUACUGUGCUAAAGGCAGAGACCACCCUUUAUGUUUUCAAUCAAAUGGUAAUUCAGUACUUAUUGUUAGAUAUUUGGUGGGAAUAAUGUACAGUACAUUAAUAAAAGUGUUUUUACUGUU